UACGUAGGUGGCAAGCGUUGUCCGGAAUUAUUGGGCGUAAAGCGCGCGUAGGCGGCCCGGUAAGUCCGUUGUGAAAGUCAAAGGCUCAACCUUUGAAAGCCGAUGGAUACUGCCGGGCUGGAGUCCGGAAGAGGCGAGUGGAAUUCCUGGUGUAGCGGUGGAAUGCGCAGAUAUCAGGAGGAACGCCAAUAGCGAAGGCAGCUCGCUGGGACGGUACUGACGCUGAGGCGCGAAAGCGUGGGGAGCGAACAGG
rnacentral:rRNA from 1 species